rnacentral:misc_RNA from 1 species
GGACUACUAGGGUUUCUAAUCCUGUUUGCUCCCCACGCUUUCGCACCUGAGCGUCAGUCUUCGUCCAGGGGGCCGCCUUCGCCACCGGUAUUCCUCCAGAUCUCUACGCAUUUCACCGCUACACCUGGAAUUCUACCCCCCUCUACGAGACUCAAGCUUGCCAGUAUCAGAUGCAGUUCCCAGGUUGAGCCCGGGGAUUUCACAUCUGACUUAACAAACCGCCUGCGUGCGCUUUACGCCCAGUAAUUCCGAUUAACGCUUGCACCCUCCGUAUUACCGCGGCGGCUGACAC